ensembl:lncRNA
AGGGAGGAGCCUCCUAGCAAUGCCCGUGCUGAGGGAGGAGCCUCCUACAAUCCCAGUGCUGAGGGAGGAGCCUCCUAGCAGAUGCACGUGCUGAGGGAGGAGCCUCCUAGCAGAGGCACGUGCUGAGGGAGGAGCCUCCUAGCAGAUGCACGUGGUGAGGGAGGAGGAGGAGCCUCAUUGAGUGUGUCAGAGACGCUCAAUAAAAAUAAGCUUUGAGGAAAAGUUUGCGCAGCCGACGGCUUGACACAGUGUCAAGAACAAUUCAUGAACUUCCCCGAGAGGAGAAAAACUGGAUGGAUAAAAGGACAGAGAGCAUCCAGAGGCUGCCAGGAGACCUGGAGCAGCACAGGGACCUGUCCACCGCUGCAGAUUAGGGGCACGGGUAGAUACCUCACCUGAAUGUGACAGAACAGCUGGUGCCUCCGCACCUAGCCAGAUUCCCAGACCGCUCUCACACUGAGAGGACACGGACGCCUGCCUGCCACACACAGCGAGCGCAUCGUAUAGGCCGUUCCGCUGUCAUCUUAUCCAACAACAAAAUGACACUUCGUAAUCUCUACAGAGGGCUACUGCUUCAACCAGUCUCGACUUAGAGUGGAUGCCGAUGGUAGUGAUAUUGGUGUCAGCAGUGGGAUGGGUUGUUAGCUCUACAACACAAGAGGUCAUUGUGUGGGACUGAGGGGCGAGGGAGGGAGGGAAAGGCAGGCUGCUGAGCUUCUCCUGGGGCUGGGUGGUACACCGCAUUUCACUAUAAACCGGUGUUGAUGAAUGGAACACUUCCACUUUUUACUUGACCAUCACUAAGGGUAUUUCAGUGUUUGGUUAUUUAAAAAUGUGAUACUCAACUCGGGCGCGCGUAAUGUCCGUUUCUAUAGCUGUUUGCUACUUGAGCACGUCUUUCUCCCUCGUCCUGCCUACCACUUCCGACACCAAGCCCUGCCAUUCACUCUGCUGCAGUCUGCCUACCACUUCCCACACCAAGCCCCGCUGUUCACUCUGCUGCAGUCUGCCUACCACUUCCCACACCAAGCCCCGCUGUUCACUCUGCUGCAGUCUGCCUACCACUUCCCACACCAAGCCCCGAUGUUCACUCUGCUGCAGUCUGCAUGGUCAGAUAGAUGCAACAAGGAUGUUGCUUUCCACAAGCGUUCUAUAUUAAUGAUUAGUUUCUGCAUCUUGCCCUCUGCAAACUACUGUCUGCUAGUUUGUCUUUUCUUUGGAAGUUGUGGGGGAAAAUUAAUCUUGUUAGCCGCUAAUCGCUAGUUAUAGAAUUAGAAUAAUCAUUCAAUUUCCAUGAUUCCAACAGCUCUCCAAUUAACUAGGCCUAGAUUUGUUUGGCCAUCAUGAUGCGCUGUAUGGCAGUGUGGAAGAGAUAAAGUGAAGGAAAUGAAGAUUAUUUAUUUUUUAAUGCAGAUGGGUUGAACAGUAUUAAACAACCAGAAUGGGAAAGGCUCAUUGUUAUUUAUGUGUUGCCACCCUAGGCUCAUGCACUAGGCAAAGAAUAUUUCAAACGUUAUUAUUCUAAAACUGAAAACACCAUCACAAAUGUGAAAAGUAUUGUGAUAUGAUAUUUUGGCCAUAUCUCCCUGCCCUAAUAGAGAAUGAUUUCACAUUCUUUCCCACUGGGAAUGUUGCUUCGACAUUUUUUGUAAUGGUGUUAAGGCGCUUUUUCCUCAAUUAAAAACAAAAAUCUCACAAAAUAGUCAUUGUGUUUGCUUGUAAUCUAGUCAUAAACCGCAAACUGAUAACACAGCCGGGCUAAUCCUUCAGGCACACAGACCAGUAGCAAAAUAGCUGAACAAAUAUAGUCAUUCAUUCAAACAACGUCCAUUUUUAUAGGUUAGUUCGCUACUUGAGUCAUCUCUCUCAGCUCCCCCUCCAUGCUGCUUUCACAGAGACCUAGCCCCGCCCCCUGUCACUCAAGGAGCGCAUUUGUUUUUCCUUGAGCACGAGACACUUGCGUUCCGUCUGCAUGGUCAAUGCAGCCAGCGCAUGCAACAUUGUUGAUGACAACAAUGCUGUUUUCACUUUGCUUCUUAAUAUAUAUCCACCAGGUUUCUAUAAUUACACUAUUAGUUUGUGUUUCUUACAUCUGCAAACAGCUAAUUUGUCUUUUCUUAGGAAAUUGGGCCUACAGCUUCUUAGCUGCUAAUGCUAAACGCUAAUAAAGUCAGAGCAAACGUAAUUAGCUGUACAGCCUGAUAAUACCAGCGGUGUAGACCUCAAUCGGCAUGUUUGUGCAGCAGUAUCAAAGAGGAAUAGGUGAAGCAAGAAUAUGUUAGCUACAUAAAGUAGCUAAGAACAAGCAUUCAAUGUAGCCAAAGACUAUAGAGUCCCCUAGGAAACACGUAAAACCAUUUGUGUUCCUAUUCUGUCACAUUAACUCCUCCCUGGCAUUUGUAUUAUCAGUGAUGUCACUGUAUUCAGUGCCCACUAUUAUAUUUAUAAUAUAGAAUUAGAAUAAUCAUGCUAUAUCCCACAAAUAUAUACAAAAAGCAUUUGAUAAUAUAUUGCAUUUGGCCUUUACUACAGCCCAUAGAAACACAUUGAAUAACACAUUCAUAGAUGUCAAUUCAAAAAAUAAAAAUCAUAGUUUGAUACCUUAUUCAUUAUCGGUCCUCUAUCUAGGAGUUAAAGGAAAGGAUCUCCAUACUUCCAUUAUUUACAUUUUACUGUACAUGUUACUGUGGGGGUCAUAGAGCAAAAUGGAGAACAUUUUCAUGAUACGACCGAUCUUUGGGAUGUCUCCUGGCCUGACAAACGGCACUAUAGCUCUGCCACUUUUCACCGCAGAUGCGGAAUGCCGACGUAGGCAUAUUGAGACGCAGCCCAUGCUAAAAAACAACAUAUCCAUAACUUUAAACUGACAGAUUUUGAUGGGGAUAUAAAUGAUGUUGCAUCAACAUCCUUAAAAUUAAGGAUAAAAAUUUAAAAAACUGAGCUGAGCGCAGGUCCGCUCUCUGUCAGGGUGAAACAACUAAGCCGAGGCUUACAGAUUGAAAGGGCAAUGCCGCAGUCGCACUCAAACGCCAAGGUGAAAUCAGAGUCAUCGUUUACGAGGCGACACUUCCUCAGACCAAUAAAACAGAGAAAGUUAACAUGUAGCCGUGUGGCAAGGAGCAGGAGGAAACGGACCAAACCGGCUGAGCCGUGGGGGAGCCGGGGGAGGGAGGGGAUGGAAACCAUUUCAGUGAUAGGGCUGGUGAGAGGGG